AUACGGAGGAUGCGAGCGUUAUCCGGAUUUAUUGGGUUUAAAGGGAGCGUAGGUGGGAUAUUAAGUCAGCUGUGAAAGUUUGGGGCUCAACCUUAAAAUUGCAGUUGAUACUGGUUUCCUUGAGUACGGUAUAGGUGGGCGGAAUUCGUGGUGUAGCGGUGAAAUGCUUAGAUAUCACGAAGAACUCCGAUCGCGAAGGCAGCUCACCGGGCCGGAACUGACACUGAUGCUCGAAAGUGCGGGUAUCAAACAGGAUUAGAUACCCUGGUAGUCCGCACAGUAAACGAUGAAUACUCGCUGUUUGCGAUACACUGUAAGCGGCCAAGCGAAAGCGUUAAGUAUUCCACCUGGGGAGUACGCCGGCAACGGUGAAACUCAAAUGAAUUGACGG
rnacentral:rRNA from 1 species